AAAAAAAAAAAAAUAAGUCCAUUGUAGUUUCCACUGUGGUUCCUCUGUGGUCUGUUUCACAAGAAUGGAGGCUGGGACACCAUUGGUUCAGUCCUCAGUGAGCAUCUUCUGGGAACUUGCCAGCCCACGUGCACAAGAUCAAGGUGCCCUCACUUUCACCCGGAUGCAAGAGUGCACUGCAGGAGGGCCACACGGGGACCUAGCUGCACACUCUGAACUGGGUUCCUCUUGGACACCAGGCAUCCUUCUUAGAACUGAGACCUCAACAGUGAACGAGGUGGGAGUGAGAGCUCCAGCAGAAGAAGGCAGGAUACUCCGGUUGACUCAGUCUGCCCCCCACCUAUUCCCAGCCCUGAUGGCCUCAGCCUGCAGCCUGCACUGCCAAAGGCUGAGUAGGUCUCCUGACCCUUCCCCUUCCAGCGUGGUCUCUGCCUGAAGGGCCGCAGGCUGUGGGCAGCUCCCAGCCUCUUCUGUGCCCUUGUGUGGAUGUCACAGCCAGAGCCCUGCCCCUGGAGUCUCUGCCUGGCCCACUCAGCUCGUCUGUAAGAGGUGAGCAUGGAGGAUGUGCUCUCCAGCAUGUUGUCCUCAGCCCCUCACCUGCCUUCUCUACAUCGCACUCAGAUUAGGCCUUUUAUGUCUGAUGGCAUCCACUCUGAGUCCUCCAAGGCUGGACUUCCAUCUCCAUCAUCGUGAUGCACUCAGCACCUAAUGAGGAUACCAGCUUGACACAAGCAUGUGUGCGUGCAUGCCUGCACACACACACACACACACACACAGGAGUCAUCACACACAUGGGACAUUUCACACUUGUCAGUACGGGUCAUUGGAGAGAGGGAAUUUCUGAGGAAUGGUUGAACCACAGGAAAAGGCCAUUAAAAUUGAAAAGUCAUCCUGGGAGGUCUGCCCUGGGUGCUUGGAUGUGGAAUUCUUCUCUUCUGAAUUCAGAAAUUCUCAGGUCCCCCUUUUAAUCUCAGGCUGAAUUCUCCCGGUACAGACCCACCAGAAGGCAGAAUGCAGUUGCCAGUGACAACCUUGGACAUUGGUGAGUGGGCAGGGACCCCAAGAGGUUUGAACCUCCCAAUCUCUCUUGUCCUUUGUCUCCAGGGCAUGUCCAGGCUGCUGUGGUCACCUGUACCAUUUUUCAAGGGGUUGCAAAAGCUGAACUCAACACAGGGCCUUAGUCAGUUUUUUAAAAUUAAAGUAUAAUUGAUUUACAAUGUUUCUUCAAUAUCUGUUGAAUAGCAAAAUAACUUAGUCACACUCUGCACUGUACAGGAGGGUCCUAUUGCCCAUCCAUUCCAAAUAUAAGAGUUUGCAUUAGUCAAUUUGGGUGUAACCUACUGAAAUCAACAUGACCUUGGCCUUUUUUCAUGGAUGUAGGUAAGGCACAUUAAAUUUUUUACUUUGCAAAUGAAAACGGGAAUAGAUUAACAGAA
rnacentral:lncRNA from 1 species